rnacentral:lncRNA from 1 species
GCUCAGGUCUUGCUCUGGGAGUGGUAAUUAAUGGCAAAAAGAUGCUAAGUGUGAAAUAAUCAUUCAGCAAAGCUCUCGGGACAUUUUCUCAGGGCCAGGUGUUAAGAUCUGCUCAACAGGAACAACUCCGUGCAGGAAAUGGAAAACGAACACACACUAUGUAAAACUCCAGCUGUAAUGUGAGGUGGUUUGGAACUGAGGAGAAGGAUAUUUUGUUUGGUGUUUUCUCCAUCAUAUGCCCUUUGCCUGAGGUCCUGUAUCUUUCCUUAUCUUGGUGCCUUAGUGGUGUUGGAAGAUACCUUUGAAAGCUCAUUUGAAUUAUUUGAAGUUAUAGGAGCUUGUGGGCAGUGACUUGCGAAACGACAGAGAGGACUAUUAGGAGGAAGUCUGAGCUUCCAGCCCAUCUGAAGACCAUCACUAGAUACCUGUGACAAAGGUUGGCCUAUCUCUUUGGUUUCAAAGUGCACACUCAUCUGGUCAAGACUAUGGGCAACUGCUUCUCUCUUGCUGCACGUAAUUAUAGGAAGUGGGGGCUGGCAGAG